UACGUAGGGGGCUAGCGUUGCUCGGAAUUACUGGGCGUAAAGGGCUCGUAGGUGGCCAACUAAGUCAGACGUGAAAUCCCUCGGCUUAACCGGGGAACUGCGUCUGAUACUGGAUGGCUUGAGAUUGGGAGAGGGAUGCGGAAUUCCAGGUGUAGCGGUGAAAUGCGUAGAUAUCUGGAGGAACACCGGUGGCGAAGGCGGCAUCCUGGACCAACACUGACACUGAGGAGCGAAAGCCAGGGGAGCAAACGGG
rnacentral:rRNA from 1 species